AGAGUUUGAUCAUGGCUCAGAACGAACGCUGGCGGCGUGCCUAACACAUGCAAGUCGAACGAGAAAGGAAUCUUCGGAUUCCGAGUAGAGUGGCGCACGGGUGAGUAACACGUGGAUAACCUGCCCUAUGAUCUGGGAUAACCGACCGAAAGGACGGCUAAUACCGGAUAAGCCCACAGAGACUUUGGUCUCAGUGGGAAAAGAUUUAUCGUCAUAGGAUGGGUCCGCGGUCCAUUAGCUAGUUGGUGGGGUAACGGCCUACCAAGGCCACGAUGGAUAGCUGGUCUGAGAGGAUGAUCAGCCACACUGGAACUGAGACACGGUCCAGACUCCUACGGGAGGCAGCAGUGGGGAAUUUUGCGCAAUGGGGGAAACCCUGACGCAGCAACGCCGCGUGAAGGAUGAAGGCCUUUGGGUCGUAAACUUCUGUCAGAGGGGAAGAAAUGCCCGCAAGGGAGCUGACGGUACCCUCAAAGGAAGCACCGGCUAACUCCGUGCCAGCAGCCGCGGUAAUACGGAGGGUGCAAGCGUUGUUCGGAAUUAUUGGGCGUAAAGAGCAUGUAGGCGGUCUGUUAAGUCUGGUGUGAAAGCCCGGGGCUCAACCCCGGAAGUGCAUUGGAUACUGGCCGACUUGAGUAUGGGAGAGGAAGGCGGAAUUCCGAGUGUAGGAGUGAAAUCCGUAGAUAUUCGGAGGAACACCAGUGGCGAAGGCGGCCUUCUGGACCAAUACUGACGCUGAGAUGCGAAAGCGUGGGGAGCGAAUAGGAUUAGAUACCCUGGUAGUCCACGCCGUAAACGAUGGGUACUAGGUGUUGCGGGUAACCACUCCUGCAGUGCCGCAGCUAACGCAUUAAGUACCC
rnacentral:rRNA from 1 species